rnacentral:rRNA from 1 species
UACGUAGGGUGCAAGCGUUAAUCGGAAUUACUGGGCGUAAAGCGUGCGCAGGCGGUGAUGUAAGACAGGUGUGAAAUCCCCGGGCUUAACCUGGGAACUGCAUUUGUGACUGCAUCGCUGGAGUGCGGCAGAGGGGGAUGGAAUUCCGCGUGUAGCAGUGAAAUGCGUAGAUAUGUGGAGGAACACCGAUGGCGAAGGCAGCCCCCUGGGAUGACACUGACGCUCAUACACGAAAGCGUGGGGAGCAAACAGG